rnacentral:lncRNA from 1 species
CUAAAAGUUUGAGUCCUUUUGUAAUCCUUCCCUCUCUCCCCUCCUUACUCCACCCUCUAUUCCCAGGCAACCACUGAUCUGUCACUAUAGAUUAAUUUGCAUUUUCUAGAAUUUUAUAAAAUGGAAUCACAUUUACUUCUUUUGCCUGGUUUAUGUCCCUUAGCAUAAUAGUUUUGAAAUUUACCUAUAUUUUUUAUACGUGAAUAGUUCAUUCCUUUCUAUUACAUUUAAUGAAAAUGUAUAUCCCUUUUCAUUGUAGGUAGUAUUCCAUUGUGUGGCUAUACCAAAAUUUGUUGAUUUAUUCACCUGUUGAUAGAUAUUUGGGUUAUUUCUAUUUUUGGCAAUUACAAAUAAAGAGCCUAAGGACAUUCAUAUACAGGUCAUUGAAUGAACAUUUUUUUCUUUUUUUCUUGCAGGUAAAUAUCUGAGUGGAAUGGUUGGAUCAUGGGCGCAGACAAAAUGUGCCAUGAGUGAUGGCCUUGGGUGAUCUACAGACAUCCCUGGCUCUAGCAGUCAUUUGUGUGGGGAGGUAACUAAAAAUCCAGGGGUGGAGUGGACUUCAGAGCUAGCUGAUUCAAUUGCUCAGCAGUAUCUUAAAAGAUCCAUCCUCUUACAAGCUUUCCUGUCUCCCAUCUUUGAUGUUGGCUUCAUCCUCUUGCCGGUAGUAAGAUCGCUACAGAAGUUUUGGAAAUAUGUCCAGACAUGGAGGUGCUGCAGAGGAAGGAGGGAGAAUAUGCCUUUCUGCAGAUCUUUCUUGGAAGAGAGGUAAGUUUCUCCAAAAGUACUCAGAUGAUUUCCCCUCAGGUGUCUCUGGCUGGAAUUAGGUCACGUAACCAUUGUUGAACAAAAAGACAAGGAAAAUAAGACUUUUCUUAUACUCAGUCACUCCGGGGGCUGGCAGUAAGGUCAUCUUUUUCCAGGUCCAUGAGCUGUGUUAAAUGGUGGGAGAAUACCUGAAUAAAACUGGGGUUCUGUCAGAAGGAAAGGAAGGAGGAGGUAACCAGUGUGUACCUCAGGACCAAACCUCAAAGGGAGUUUGGGAUGAGGUAACUGUGAAGCAUUUGGUUUGGUAAACGCAGCCUGGAGGUUAUCAGGGCCAGUGGCCUCCUUCUAGCGGCAUGGCCGUGGGUGGCUCUGAGUCUCUAGGGAAGUCCCACAUUGAGCUCAGUGCCACACCCAGUGCAUUUUGGGA